CAGUAGCCGCGGGAAUACGGAGGGGGCUAGCGUUGUUCGGAAUUACUGGGCGUAAAGCGCACGUAGGCGGCUUGGUAAGUUAGAGGUGAAAGCCCGGAGCUCAACUCCGGAAUUGCCUUUAAGACUGCCGAGCUAGUUGGUGAGAGAGGUAAGUGGAAUUCCGAGUGUAGAGGUGAAAUUCGUAGAUAUUCGGAAGAACACCAGUGGCGAAGGCGGCUUACUGGCUCAUUCUAGACGCUGAGGUGCGAAAGCGUGGGGAGCAAACAGGAUUAGAUACCCCGGUAGUCCCUGUCUCUUAUAC
rnacentral:rRNA from 1 species